rnacentral:tRNA from 1 species
GGUUAGCUCAGCGGUAGAGCACUGCCUUCACACGGCAGGGGUCGCAGGUUCGAACCCUG